CUGGUCCUAUUAGUUUAUUGCAUUGGAGUGGAAAGGGUAAACCAUGGUUAAGGUUAGAUUCUAGAAAGCCAUGCAUCGUGGACCAUCUAUGGGCUCCUUAUGAUCUCUAUCGAUCCUCCAGACACUUUUUUGAAGAAUAAUUAAAGAGGUCAUUAAAAACAUUAAGGAAUUAAUGUGAAUGUAAAUUGAUCUUCUAUCAGUGCGGCAGCUGAAAGACCCCCUUAGUUUAAAGAGAAAUUUUUUAUCACUAAUCUAACGGUCUGUACACUGCAGUUACAUAUUUUCAUUUUUUUAAUGAGAAGGGGUUGUUGGAUAUUUCCAGUUUUCUAACUCAAAUUUGGCUGACGGGAAAGGAACUAAAUCUCCAAAAGCUUGCAGCUUGAUGGGCAGCAACAUUGGAGUUGUAAAUUCUCUCUUUUUUUUUUUUUGUCCCUUUCUCUAUCUUUAGUAUUUUUUGGUUUCAUAGUGAUUGUAAAAGCAUAAACAAUAUGCAAGUUAGGCUGAUUAGUCUAACACUAAAAAAUUGUUAUUAUCUGGGUCAGUGCUAAUAGCUUCAGCUUUUCACAAAAUGCGCCCAAUUUUGGUCUUGUAAAUAAAUAUUAUCACAUUUCUACAUUUUUAUGUAAAUCUAGAGUAGAGAAAUUAUGUAUAGACACCUUUUUUUUUUACACCCAACACCUCCUAUGUGUAUAAAAAUAUAAAUAUAAUGUUUUCUCUCUUACCUUUCCCUGUGUUAUACACCUUGGUCCCCAUGCAUAUACAACCGACUUGUACGAAGUGUGUCUAUAUAUCAUUUCUCAUCCGGCAUAUGGUGCGCGAGUAGCGCAUGAAGUGAAAGAUUCUUCCUUCAUAGGUUUUCCAACCUUAGCUAGAACAGCACAGUAGCCCCUGCAGAGUAAAUCAUAUCAAGUGACAUAAAAGCAUAUCUUGUGUAUUUGAAUAAUGCAAUUGAAAAUUUUACAAAAUUUCAAAAUUCCAGUUCAGAAAGGCAGACAUACAUAUUUCAUGUUUAUAUUUUUAGAAAAAAAAGGAUGACUUAUAGUAUUUUGUUGGAAUUAGGAUGGCUUAUAUUUAAUGUGGAGCACAGAAUGAUAAGAUCAUAACUAAUUAAAUUAGCCUGAAUUUUGAUUUCCUAACUUGUUAAACAAUGCAGUUUCUGCCAAUUGAACAUAAAUGGGAUGACAUGGACAAACAUGCUGCAGCCAAGCGUUUUGGACACGUCAUCAUUUAAUUCAAUAGGGACUGAAAACAUAAUUUGAAAACCAAAAACAUAUAUAACUAAAACUUAAGUAUGUUUUAAGCAAGCAACAAUGUUUGUUCCUUUAAAAAUCUCUUUUAGCCUUUGCUUCCCUUCUUCCAACUCUUUAUGUGGAGAUAUGCCUCAAAUCAGCAACAAUUUGGAGUUAGUUAUGACAAAGUAGUUAUAGUUAAGCUAACAGUUUUAGCAUACUACAUACAAUUGUAAAGUGUAUUUGUUGCUGUAAUGUGAGAAAUGAAAGAGAGAACAUUCUCGGUUUUAAUUUCUGGUUUUAUAAUUGGUAGUUUUCUGUUUUGAUAGUUAAUUCUUGUUGCAGAUCUCAAUAUUGUUUUAACACUUUGAAACAUGCAUAAACGAAAUCAAACUCAGAGAAUCUAAAAAGUGAAAACAUACAUACGCUUGGUUGAAGUUCAAAUAUAACUUGAGCUCUGAAAAAUUACAGAAUGCAGCAAAAUAAUCAUAGUAAUUAAAAACAGAGGAUGAUGUUAACAAACAAUUGAUAUUAAGAUAAAGAUCUUGACCAAGGAAUCUAUAAUUACUUUUGUUUGCAUAGCCACCUAAUGCAGAAGAAAAUAAACAAGAAAACUAAUAAGAUCGAUAACAUAGGGUUAGGAAAGGUAGAAAUUAUAUAAACAUUUAGAAUUAAUUCAUAAAAAACGAAGAAAAUAUUACUAACCAAAAGAGAAAAAAAGAGCAAAUGUUGAUUGAAAGAAGAUCCUCGUCAGGUAAAAUCAAAAUCAAGAACUCGUUCAGCAUUAACUUCCUAAACAAUAGUUUCAAAUGGAAACGGUGAAACUUUGUUUUCAUUUUAAAAUAGGCAUUGAUGUAUUCUGGAUAGCAAUAGCAAUGCCUAUUUUAAAAAUGAAAAGAACAGUGUUCUGUUUCCAUUAGAAUUAAUGAAUAAGCUACUGAAAAGGGAAGGCAACGCAGUCAUGAAUUUGAUUUCAGCUGAGGAGGAGAGUGCCGCCACCGUUAUCACGUUGUUUCAUCUCUGAUCUAUUUUUCAGCCGUAGAGUCCGGUCCUUAUAUUUAUAGUAACACUUA
rnacentral:lncRNA from 1 species